AUGAACGCUAGCUACAGGCUUAACACAUGCAAGUCGAGGGGCAUCAGGAAGAAAGCUUGCUUUCUUUGCUGGCGACCGGCGCACGGGUGAGUAACACGUAUCCAACCUGCCCUUUACUCGGGGAUAGCCUUUCGAAAGAAAGAUUAAUACCCGAUGGCAUAAUGAUUCCGCAUGGUUUCAUUAUUAAAGGAUUCCGGUAAAGGAUGGGGAUGCGUUCCAUUAGGUUGUUGGUGAGGUAACGGCUCACCAAGCCUUCGAUGGAUAGGGGUUCUGAGAGGAAGGUCCCCCACAUUGGAACUGAGACACGGUCCAAACUCCUACGGGAGGCAGCAGUGAGGAAUAUUGGUCAAUGGGCGCUAGCCUGAACCAGCCAAGUAGCGUGAAGGAUGAAGGCUCUAUGGGUCGUAAACUUCUUUUAUAUAAGAAUAAAGUGCAGUAUGUAUACUGUUUUGUAUGUAUUAUAUGAAUAAGGAUCGGCUAACUCCGUGCCAGCAGCCGCGGUAAUACGGAGGAUCCGAGCGUUAUCCGGAUUUAUUGGGUUUAAAGGGAGCGUAGGUGGACUGGUAAGUCAGUUGUGAAAGUUUGCGGCUCAACCGUAAAAUUGCAGUUGAUACUGUCAGUCUUGAGUACAGUAGAGGUGGGCGGAAUUCGUGGUGUAGCGGUGAAAUGCUUAGAUAUCACGAAGAACUCCGAUUGCGAAGGCAGCUCACUGGACUGCAACUGACACUGAUGCUCGAAAGUGUGGGUAUCAAACAGGAUUAGAUACCCUGGUAGUCCACACAGUAAACGAUGAAUACUCGCUGUUUGCGAUAUACAGUAAGCGGCCAAGCGAAAGCAUUAAGUAUUCCACCUGGGGAGUACGCCGGCAACGGUGAAACUCAAAGGAAUUGACGGGGGCCCGCACAAGCGGAGGAACAUGUGGUUUAAUUCGAUGAUACGCGAGGAACCUUACCCGGGCUUAAAUUGCAGUGGAAUGAUGUGGAAACAUGUCAGUGAGCAAUCACCGCUGUGAAGGUGCUGCAUGGUUGUCGUCAGCUCGUGCCGUGAGGUGUCGGCUUAAGUGCCAUAACGAGCGCAACCCUUAUCUUUAGUUACUAACAGGUCAUGCUGAGGACUCUAGAGAGACUGCCGUCGUAAGAUGUGAGGAAGGUGGGGAUGACGUCAAAUCAGCACGGCCCUUACGUCCGGGGCUACACACGUGUUACAAUGGGGGGUACAGAAGGCAGCUAGCGGGUGACCGUAUGCUAAUCCCAAAAUCCUCUCUCAGUUCGGAUCGAAGUCUGCAACCCGACUUCGUGAAGCUGGAUUCGCUAGUAAUCGCGCAUCAGCCACGGCGCGGUGAAUACGUUCCCGGGCCUUGUACACACCGCCCGUCAAGCCAUGGGAGCCGGGGGUACCUGAAGUGCGUAACCGCGAGGAGCGCCCUAGGGUAAAACUGGUGACUGGGGCU
rnacentral:rRNA from 1 species